GACGAACGCUGGCGGCGUGCUUAACACAUGCAAGUCGAACGGUAAGGCCCUUCGGGGUACACGAGUGGCGAACGGGUGAGUAACACGUGGGUGACCUGCCCUGCACUUCGGGAUAAGCCUGGGAAACUGGGUCUAAUACCGGAUAGGACUCCGGACUGCAUGGUCUGGGGUGGAAAGCUUUUGCGGUGUGGGAUGGGCCCGCGGCCUAUCAGCUUGUUGGUGGGGUGAUGGCCUACCAAGGCGACGACGGGUAGCCGGCCUGAGAGGGUGACCGGGCACACUGGGACUGAGAUACGGCCCAGACUCCUACGGGAGGCAGCAGUGGGGAAUAUUGCACAAUGGGCGCAAGCCUGAUGCAGCGACGCCGCGUGAGGGAUGACGGCCUUCGGGUUGUAAACCUCUUUCAGCAUCGACGAAGCGAAAGUGACGGUAGGUGCAGAAGAAGGACCGGCCAACUACGUGCCAGCAGCCGCGGUAA
rnacentral:rRNA from 1 species